AGGUUGUUUUGGUUUUUUUUUUUUUUUUGGUUGGCUUUUUUUUUUUUUUUUUUACUUGGAAACAAAGUCUCGGCACAGCAGCCCGAUGCACGGCGAGGCCAGGCAGUCGACAGUCUGAGAGAAGGACUAAGGCGCUAGUGCGGAUUUGUUGCUGCCUCCAUGUAAAAUCUUUAUAUCCAAUGUGUAUGUGCUUCGACUCCAGACUCAACUGCAUGAGAUACCGACAGAGUAUUACAGCUGGUGAAGAUAUGGAAAGAAGCAUGAUUUUGCGUUAAAGAAGACUUCUUUUCUGUCCAGCUUGUAGUGAAAACGCAGCCAUCAUUUGAGUUGAUGAGAUGAGCCAAGAAACUAUUAGAUGUUGUCUUGCCACACAGAAGUAUGCAGCAGAAUUUUAUUUACAUUUGCAAGUUCUGCAAGGAGCAAGGAUCAGGAAGAGUCAUUUGAAAUCUUCAGGCAUUAAAGUAUCUUGAGGAAUUUUAUAGAGGAACUGCAGCCCGUGGAGAGAACACCAUACAGGAGCAAGUUUGCUGUCAGACCUGUGACCCUGUGAGGAAGGACAGCACUCCACAGAAGGACCCACGCUGGACCAGUCAGCCUGUGGGGAGGACUUAUGUUGGAGAAGUUCAUGGAGGACUGUCCCCAAUGGGUGAGCCCUUAGGAUGGAGCAAGGGAAGAGUGUGAGGAGGAAGGAGCAGCAGAGAUGGAGUGUUAUGAAAUGAUGGCAACUGACCAUUUUCCCCAUCCUGCUGCACCACUUGAGGUGCAGCAAGUGAAAGAGUUGGAAGUAAAAUUGAGCCUGGGAAGAAAGGAAGGGUGAGGGGAGAUGUUUUUUAAAAAUUUAUUCUUAUUUCUUACUAAUCGAUUCUGCUUGGCAACAAAUUAAAUUUAUUUUCCCAAGUCCAGUCUGUUUUCCCUGUGACAAUUGGUAAGUGAUCUCUCUUAUCUCAGUCCAUGGGUUCUUCAUUGUCCCUCUGUCCCUUAAAGAGAAAGUGAUAGAGUAGCUUGGUAGGUGCCUGGCAACUAGCCAAGGUCAACCCACCUCAAAAUAAUAAAUUUUUUUUUUUCUGAACCUGAGACUGUGGAAAACAAAUGUCAGGAAGGAGACAGAAAAGUAACUUAUGAGGGAUGAGAACAAAGUCCCCAAAACACUGAGGCUUCAUCCAUGUACAAGGCUAUGCAGUGUAAUUAGAUACAUGAUUAAUCAUGGCUUAGUUACAAAUCUGUAUCUGUCCUUAUGAAACCAGAUUUAAACUUGCAUAAAAAUGUCUGUUCAUGGGAUAGGAUAGUUUAACUAAGAUAAAAAUAUAAGACAGUCCAGUAGAAAUUUAUGGCAUGGAUGAUGAAUUUCAGACUCAUGUAGAAACAGCCCCUAAACAGUAGAAGAUUUAGAAGGUUGGCUUUUUUUAAAUAAAUUUCAUAAUAAGUUGUUCAGUCAAAAAUGACUCUGUUUAUUUCUAUAUUUUUUUUCAUUUUAAAACUUCUCAUACUUUAUUACUUCUGUAUUCACCUACAUGACUCCUGAAUCACUCAGUCUAUGUGAGUCAUGGUAGACAUGACUGUAGCAUUUGGAUAAAGAAAUUGAAACAUCUGAAUUAAGCUUCCCCUUGCAGAAACACUUGUCAGUUACUGAACUGAUCUGUUUCCCCUGUGAACUGAUGCAUAAGGGAUUUUAAACAUGUACCACUGAAGUGCAUUUUAAAGGCUGUUUUUUAAAAAACUUUUGUACAACCCUGAAAUGUGUUUCACUUUCUCUUAACACUGCUUUAUUGGGCACUUGCCAAAACAAAUUUAUAAUGCAACAUGUAUUAUCUGGUUUACCAGUUUGGAAUUUUGUCUAUGUGUGCAUCCUCAGUAUUGAUAAAACUGCGAAUUUUCUAGGAAAAAAUUUAAAUGCUGAAGGCAAUUUCAUGGCUUUGAUCUUUACGCACCAAUCCCCAAAACAGAGAGAAUAACCACAAAGAGAAAUGAGGGUAUGCUCCAACAACAACUUCAUGCUUUGAAACAAAAUGAGGAAAAGGAUUUGGAGGAAAUGAAGUAAAAUGGGUUGAUCUCCAGAAUAUAUAAUGAAUGCAAUAUCUUACAUAGCAGGUAAUAUAUCACCUGAACUUACUCUUGCCUGUUUCAGGAAUGGCUCACUUGCAGACCACACCAAUCUGCAUCACCCAGUAGUAGAAAGGAUAUGAUUUCUUUUGGAGACAGGCAGGGGAGCUCUUCCCACUGGCAUAAUGGAAGCAGAUGCUUUAGGAAUACUUCAGAAAGACCGAUGAGAUGGAUUUUAUCAUUUCUCAGAAAAUGUUCAGAUCUUUUUUGAGUAGCUUUUCUAAUAUGCAUGUCAGAAAAGAGAAGGGCUAUUUCUGAUCUCCAUAAAAGAAAUGUAUGAGUUAAAUCUGGCAGUUAUUACUAUUUCUAGACUGAAUUUUGAUCUUAGUAGCAUAUUGCACUGGCUGUUUUGUAAUUAGGUGCCAUUAAAAGAGGAUGUCUAUCAAAAUGUUAACAAGGAUGGUGGUCAAUCUCUGUCAGAUUUAUUGAAAGCAAAUACAUUUACAAGUUCCAUCAUAAAUCUUGGUCAAGUAAUGAGAUUCUCAACUUAUUUUCCAUAAAGUGGUUAUUGCAUUAUGCAGGCAAAAUGUCAUGGUACACAACAGUUCAAUUUCAUCAGCUCUUCACACAGCAAUGAAAUAAUAAACCAGUACUGUUCAAACUUUGAUUUCUUUCAUUGUCAUAUAUUAGCCUAGAAUACAUGCAUGUAUGGAAUAUUUUGGCAGAAUAUAUGUUAAAAAGAAUUCUCUUAUUUCUGUUGGAAUUCUAACAAUAAAAUUUCAAACUCUUAUUUAUGAACAAAA